AGGAGGAACAACUGCAGUGGCGGCGGCAGCUCUGCAGCCCUGGAGUCAGCUCCCGCAGUAGCUCCAGAGCUCUCCGUCUGCAGGGCCUGGAGGCUCCGGGGCGGG
rnacentral:pre_miRNA from 1 species